AACGCACGAGACCUGCGGACCUGCGGAAGGAUCAUUAAAAUAUUACUAGUUAGCUUUGGAGAUUCCUCCAGAGUUAAUUAUGUAUUUCAAUCACUUGUUUACUUAUACCUGUUGCUUCCGUGAAAAUUAGGGUGCCUGCACUAUUCGUAGUUGUAGGUUACCUUUCACGGGUGUUUUUUAAAAAAAUUUGUUUUGAAUGACUUGUCUGAUUAUUAGUUUUAAAUAAAGUUAAAACUUUUA
rnacentral:misc_RNA from 1 species